rnacentral:rRNA from 1 species
GAUGAACGCUGGCGGCGUGCCUAAUACAUGCAAGUCGAGCGAACAGACGAGGAGCUUGCUCCUCUGACGUUAGCGGCGGACGGGUGAGUAACACGUGGAUAACCUACCUAUAAGACUGGGAUAACUUCGGGAAACCGGAGCUAAUACCGGAUAAUAUAUUGAACCGCAUGGUUCAAUAGUGAAAGACGGUUUUGCUGUCACUUAUAGAUGGAUCCGCGCCGCAUUAGCUAGUUGGUAAGGUAACGGCUUACCAAGGCAACGAUGCGUAGCCGACCUGAGAGGGUGAUCGGCCACACUGGAACUGAGACACGGUCCAGACUCCUACGGGAGGCAGCAGUAGGGAAUCUGCCGCAAUGGGCGAAAGCUUGACGGAGCAACGCCGCGUGAGUGAUGAAGGUCUUCGGAUCGUAAAAAUCUGUUAUUAGGGAAGAACAAAUGUGUAAGUAACUAUGCACGUCUUGACGGUACCUAAUCAGAAAGCCCCGGCUAACUACGUG